UUUUUUUUUUUUUUCUAAUAUGAAACAUUUAAGAAAAAAAACCUUUUUUUUUUCCUUCUUUUUUCUUCAGAUUAUUGUUACCGAUUUUUAUUCCGGCGUCUUUCAUUUACCUUGUUUACAAAAUCCAAUGUCAUGAGAAUGAAAAACACUGGUUCUAAUUUUUUUCAUUUUCUUGUAAAUUUUUAACCGUUAUUUUAUUUUGUUUUUUUUCUAGUUGUGAUUGCAUUGCUAACAAAGUUUCAACUCACCAUGAUUUGUGUUUUUUUCAUCUUCAAUUUCAUAAUUGGAUUUUCCAUUUUUUUUAAUCACAAUAUACUUAUAUUUUUUUUUCUAUUUUUUAAGUUUUUUUUUUGCAUGUCUUUUCAUUUCCAGUUUGGAUUUCGUGGUGUCAGCGGUGUGAAGAUGAAAUUUUAUUGACUUUUAUUUUAAAAUUUUCAAUUUUCAAGUUCUUUUUCUCUUGUUUUAAAAAUCAAUGCUCUUGAUAAUUUUUUUUUCAAUUUUUUUCAUCUAGAUAUGAUAUUGUUGCGCUGCUGAAGAAUAAACUUGUUUAGUUUCCAUUGAAGAAAAAUUAUUUUGUAACCGGUAGAGAAAAGUUAAAUCAGAAGUCGUAUAACGCUUAUUUCGUUAACAUAUAAAAAGAACCCGGAUUUACAUUGUUAAGGUAGAUUUAGAUUUUUAAACUCUUUUUUCGUCAAAUAUAUUUUAAAAUAAAUAUAUAAUAUAAUCUAAAAUCACAAAUUGGAAAAUAGCAAGAGUUUUAUAUUUAUAUUAUUCAUCAAAGAAAAAAAUAUUAAAAAUAAUUUUAACAAUCACAAGUAUCUCGAUCGGUGUAGUUGGUUAUCAUGCUAGUUUGACACACUAGAGGUCCCCGGUUAGAACCUAAGUUUAGAUACUUUUUUUUUUUUCUUAUAAUUGACCGGUUUGAAGCUGGUUAAGACUUUUUUGGGUGAUUUUUUCAUCUUGGUCCUUGAACAUUUUCAUCAUUCUAAUUAAUUCCAAAAUUUGAUAACUUUGUCUAAUUUGGUCUUUGAACUUCUCUUCCAUUAAGGUAGGAUGAUGUGGCAUUAUAAGAUUGCGCCACAUCAUAACUUGGAAAAUUUUUAGAUGAUCACAUGGCACAAUUUCAGAGUGCAAUGUCAUCUUAUUAUUAAUACAAUCUAAUUUCAAGGACCAAAUUGGAAAAAAACACCAAACUCAAAGACUAAAUAUUGCUUUAUCCAAUUUUAACUUAAAAUUUAGGUCAAAUUCUCCAAUUAGUCCCUAUAUUAUGUAUAAGUUGUGGACUAAUUUGGUCACUUUUAAUCUUCGUACUUUUCUAAAGUUAAAAUUUUCAGUAUUGACCAAACAAUAGUUGUUAUGUUUUCUACAUAACAUCUUGAAAAUAACAAAAUUUAAUAAAUGUAACAAUUACAAUUCAAUUCAAACUAAAAUUUCAAAAUUCAAAAAGUACAAAGACUAAAAGUAACCAAAUUAAAUGCGAUAACUAAAUACAAAACUUACACAUAAUACAAAAACUAAAAACAAAAAUUAUCCAUUAUUGUUUAACAUACAAUAUGCCAUAAGUUUCUAUACUCUUCACAAAUUUAGAAUUUAAUUCUUAUACUUUUGUUUAUUGGAAUUUAGUCCAACUUUUCAUUUUUUUUAAAAAGUUCAAGUUCAACUAUUAAUAUUUUUAAAAUUAUUUUUUAAAAUUCAUGUUCAUUAUAAUAUCAUUUUUAGUUACAUAACUGCUAAGUCAGUUUUUUUUAUUUCAAAAUAUCACAUCAGUAAAUUUAACAAAAAAUUAAUUAUAUUAAUAAUUGGACCUAAAUUUUAGAAUCUAAAAAAGUAAAGAAACUAAAUUAUUAAAAAUAUAAAAAUUAAAUUUCAAAAUUUUAAAGUACAUAUACUUAUAUUUUAACAUCCAUAAUUUAUCCAUAUUUAUAGAUUAUUAAAAUAAGCUAUACUAACUCAAAUCGAAUUAGGAUUUUUUUUUUUAAUUCCUAAUGACUUCAAACAGGAUUAGGAUUUUUACAGCAUUAUACAAAGCAUCUUGAAUUUAAAAAAAAUAAAAAUAAAAGUUACUCUAAAAUACUCUGUAGUUACUCUACCGCCUGUUUUUUUUUACCUUUCCCGCCAUAGUAAAAAGCUUGAAAUUUUUAUUACUAUUCUUCCAUGGCAACUAAGGCUACCAAGCAAACAAAGUUCCGAUGGGCGGAUAUUGAAGAUAACGAGGCCGAGGAUUUGACUUACUUAUUACCACCGAAGGAAGUAAUCGGCCCAGACAAGAACGGGAUCAAGAAGGUGAUUGAGUAUAAGUUCAACGAAGAAGGGAAACACGUCAAGAGUCACGACGACGAUCCAAGUCCGAAAAAUCGCCGUCGAUUCUCCACGCAAGGAACGGAUAUUCGAUAGAAGGUCUUGUGCUAAAUUUGGAAGUGCUAUGGGUGAUGAAGUUGAUAAUAGCCGACUCACUAUGGUUUCUACUGAAGAAAUCUCCCUUGAACGACGCGGUUCGUUUCUUUUUCUCUCGGUUUAUUUUGAUAUGAAUUUGAUUGUUUUAGGUUUAAUUAUAAACCGGUCCCUAAUAGAGUUUUUGAAAAUUGGUCACUCUUAGGGGAGUAAUUUUCGGUUUUAAUCUAGAAAACCAAAAAGAUUAACCCAUUCGAUUUUUUCGGUUUUGAUUUAAUCGGGUGGGAUGGAUUGAACGGUUUUGAUCUCAGUUUAAUUGUUUAAUUUAACCCACAUAACCAAACUGAAAAAAGAAUUAUUUAAAAUAUAUUUAUAUUUUAUAAUACAUAAUAUAUAUGUAGCCAUAUAAAUCUAAUUGAGAAAACCGACUGAAUCAAAGUAAUUUCUUAGUUUUCAUGGUAUACGAUAAUUAAAUUUUGACAAAUUAGAAUAUAGGAACUAAUUUCUCAAUUUCUAUGAGAAAUACUAUAAUUAAAAUUUGACAAAUUAGUAAAUAGGGAUUAAUUUAUAAUUUUUUGUAAAAUAGAGGAUGAAAUUUAAAUUUAAACAUUUAUUCUUGAAUAUCCUUGAAACUACUACUUAUAGGUAGCAAAGUAGAAGAACCAAAGGUUGCUGCCGUCCAUUCUUUAGCUCAACAAGCCAAAAACGGUGCCGUUCUCAUGCUGUGUAGAACAUGCGGCAAAGAAAGGAUCCCCGUUAAUUUGAUAUUAUUGAAUAAGCUAUGAAAGAAAUAGAAAAUAUUUCUUUAAUUUUAAGAUACAAUUAAAAGUUUAAUCAAAUUUAAUUAAAAAAAGUUGAAUUUACCUUUAUCAAAAAGCGUUCAAUCAAUCUUAAUUUUUACAAUUAAAAGAUUGAAAAUGUAAUUUGAAAGCACCAAAAAUCAUCAUUGAAAAAUUAAGAACAUGGAGAGACUUAAAAAUGCAAUUAAUCCAAAACGUUGUUUAAUAUGUAGAAUACCAAGUUUUUUUUUUCUUUCUAAUAUGAAAUGUUUCAGGAAAAAAAAAACUUUUUUUUUCCUUCUUUGUUUUUUAGAUUAUUGUUACCAAUUUAUAUUCCAACACCUUUCAUUUACCAUGUUUACAAAGUCCGACGUCAUGAGAACGCAAAAUAUCGGGUUCUAAUUUUUUUUUUCAUUUUCUUUUAAAAUUUUAAUCUUUCUUUUAUUUUUUUUCUUGUUGCUUUUUUUUUUCUGGUUGUAAUUGCAUUGUUAUGAAAGUUUAAGCUCACCAUGAAAAGUGUUUUUUUCAUCUUCAAUUACAUGAUUCCAUUUUUCAUUUUUUUUAAUCACAAUAUACUUUUAAAUUUUUUUUCUAUUUUUUAACUUAUGUUUUAUUUUUAUUUUUUUGCAUGUCUUUUCAUUUCCAGUUUAGAUUUCGUGAUGUCAGUGGUAUGAAGAUGAAAUCUUAUUGACUUUUAUUUUUAAUUUUCAAUUUCAAGUUUCUUUUCUCUUGUUUUGAACAUCAAUGUUCUUAAUCACAUUUUUCAAUUUUUUUCAUCUAGAUUUGAUAUUGUUGCUGCCGCAGAAGAAUAAACUUGUUCAGUUUCUGGUGACGACAAAUUACUUUGUAACUGCUAGAGAAAAGGUAAAGUAGAAGUCGUACAACGCUUAUUCCGUUGACAUACAAAAAGAACCCGGAUUUACAUUGUUAAGGUAGAUCUAGAUUUUUAAACUCUUUUUUCGUCAACUACAUGUUUAUAUUUUUCUUUAUUUUGUUAUAGAUCCACAUUCCUCUAUUAAAUUGCCCUUUUUCUUUUACGAAAUAUACAUAUGUUGGUUUUUAUGAUACCAUUUGCUUUUUUAAACAAUAAUAUAUGCUUGUAAAAUAUUUUUUUCUAAGUUUUAAUUUUUUUUCUUUUCUUGUCUCGUAUUUUUUUCAUUUUGAAUUAUAUUGACUAACAAACGUUUUCAUUAACCAUUUCGAUAGCAUCUAAAUGACAACGUACAAUGUUUUAAUUUUCAAGUUUAGUUAUUUUUAUUUUAUUUUUAUUCUUUUGACCUCAAUAAGCGUUAAAAAUUUGUUUUAAUAAAAUAUGGUAAGUGAUAUUAUAAUAGUUAUGAUAAGUUAAUUAUUUUAUUUAAUUACGUAAUCAUAUGUUUACUAAUUUAUUUUGCAAAACAUUAAUUGAUCAGAAAAGUAAAGGUAAAUAUAUUUGGAUUAAGAUUUGAAAGUAACUUAAGCAAAUGUGUUUGAUUAUGUGGUUGUUGAUAAUAUUUGAAAAGAUAUUCCUAAUGAUAAUACUUGAAUGUAACUUAGCCAUUAUUAUUAUGAUGUUAUCUGUCUCAUGUUUCUAUGAAGGUAUCAUAUAUUUGUAUUUACUGUCGUCUUGUUGCAUGUAUCCCAAUGAUAUUGAUAUUUUUAUUUUUCGAGAUUCGUACGCAUCAAAUAAUAGGUACAAAAAAGGUGAAGAUCUAACUAUUUGAUAGAUUAAAAUUGAUUUAAUUUUGAAAAAAUUAAAUAUUGAUCGCAUGUAAAGUAAAUUAUUUUUUAAUUAAUUAUUUGAAUGAAGCAUGAAUCCAAAAUUUUAUGUUGUCUGAAUUUAAUUGAAUAUUAUUAUUGGAAAUUAGUAGGUUGUAAAUUAGAGAUAAUUCAAAAUAUAGUAGAAAUGUAAAUUUACCCUAGACUUGGUUAAUAUUAUUUUUACCUUUAAUAUGGAUUGCACCAAACCCAAGAUUAGAGACAAGUUUUUAUAUUAAGAUAUUAACUUGAACAUAGGGUUGAACUUGAGUUUUAUUUAAUUAUUAAAGUUGCUUUGAUGAUAUUUUUUGUUUGUACGAGUACGUAAGUUUAAUUUAUUUAAUUUUAAACUUGCUUUGAAUUGUAUGCUUAUUUAUACAUAAGUUGAAUUUAUUUUAAACAUGAUUUAUGAUGAAUAUAUAUUUGGAUUAGUUACAAGCUAAAAAUAAAAUGUUAAGAAACCGAAGGAAAAUAAUGGAAAUUAUUUUGUUUGGAAAAUCCAUAGUUGAUUGCUGGAAAUAAUGUGAUAAUGUGAAAAUGCAUGUCUAGAAAUGGUUCUUGUAACACCUCAAAUCCGGCCUAGACGUCAUGGUUGAAUUUGGGAGUGUUACGAUGAAGUGUUUUAAAACACAUCUUUUAUGUUAAAAUGAAUCGCGUUGCUUGAUACCAAAUAGAGUCCAUAUUUUCGAAAAAACUUGUUUUUAUUAUCUUAUUGAAAUCGUUAUAAGUUGUCCUUUAUAGUUACAAAAAGUUUCGCAGCGGAAGUUUGAAAAUCAUUUAAAUUGAAACCAAGUUCGUGUUUCCAAAAACAUCUGUUCCUGUAAAGCUGGAAUUUUUUCAAUCACAUAGUUUAAAAAUCAUAAACGCAACUAAACCAAAAUUCCAAAACGAACAGUCCCAAAAAGUCAUGAGAGUCCAAAAAUUACAAAACUCUCUCGAAAACCAAAAAUUACAAGGAUAAUAAAAACAAUAGUUUUCCAAUGAGUGGUCACCGCUGAGCCUCUGUCGCACCGACCCGCCUAUGUAUGAGGAUUACCUGUACAGAGCAGACAAACAGAUGUGAGUUUUCGUAAACUCAGUGUGUAACCCAACAAAGAUAGACAUACAAAUAUACACAGUAUUCUCAUAUGCAGAACAUAUACAAAUAUGGACCUAAGUCCUUAGUAGAUACAAAUAUCAGAAUCUGAUAAUCAAGACAGAUAUACAGAAUCCUACCUCCAUCCUCUACACACCAUCUCCGAUGAUCCCAUCACACCAUGUGGGGUUAAAAACACCCACCCAUCCCUACACACCAUAUAGUGUCGAUGCAACACAUAACAGAAUAAUAUGCAGUCAAGUUGCAAGAAAAUAGGCGAAAGGUCACCGUACAAAUCACAUCCUCCACAUAAACAAAUCCCACCCUAAACAUGGAUACAAAAUACAGAUGCAAAAAUAACAGAAUUAACAUGUUUAACAUGCUCGUAUACAGAUAACAUACAUACUUAUACAGAAUAGUCAAACAUAUAUAUCAAUUUCCUACUCAGAUCAGACUAUCAGAAUAUCAGAUCACAUAUAAUAGGGUUUGGUUAGCCCUUACUGACCCUACAAUAGGCCCACAAUCGAUUGAAACGACCUGUUCAACCUUGGGGAAAAUUUUAAAAUUUUGGGCCCACGUGCCCGUGUGGGCCCACAUGGCCUAGCCCAAAGCCCAUACACCCAUGUUGUAACACCCCUAACCCAUGUCUGUCACCAGAACAGGUUACGAGGCAUUACCGGACUUAUCAAAUCAUAACAUAUAUAUAUUUCAUACAUUUAAACUUUCAAAGACAUACAUAAUUCAUGUACAAUCAUAUUGCCUCUUAUAAAACUCUAUGGGAUCUUAAAACAUGUUUGGAAGAGAUUCAGGACUAAACCGUUAACAUUUGAAAACUUUGGGAAACUUAGAAAAUUUUCUUGAAUGCAGAGGUUACACGCCCGUGUGCCCAGGCUAUGUGCCUCUCACGGCCACCAGACACUCCCGUAUCAUAGACUGUGUGGAAAUAGGGCAUACAUACUGACAUACGCCCGUGUGUUAUCCCGUGUGCCACACACGGCCAAUAGACACGCCCGUGUGUCUAAGCCAUGUAACUCACUAACUUAUUUUAACUAAGCUUCAGCAGACACAAGUUCGAAUCUCACGCCUGUAUGCUCAAUCGUAUGGACGAGAAAUAGGCUUGUUUUAAGCCAAUUUUUCUCACCCAAACAUCAAUCACCUAAGCUCACAUAUAUCAACAUACUUUCAUUCAAUUUGACAAUCAAAACAACCAUUUCAAAUACACAUUAUAAGCCAUUACAAAACCAAACAUUUAUAUACUCAAAUCAAUUCCAUUUGUGCAUUCAAACACAUACAAAACUAAUAUAAUUCAUUAGCCAUUAUACAUAUAUAACCUACUCAAAUAAUUCAACCUUAAACAUCCAAGUACCAACUAUUAUUCAAACAGUUUUUGAUUCAUAUUUCUGUCACAUAUCUAUACCAUUUGCAUAUCCUCAUUCCAUCAACUACUUACCAAAACAUGUCAUAUCUAGUACACAUAAACAUAACCCAAUAUUUAACCAAGUUAAGCCAAAUCACAUGGCUUAAACACAUCAAUACAUAUAGGCUUCAAUAGCUAAUACCCCAUUCUAUCCUUGACUUAAUUGAAGUUCUUGCCAAACAGUGCUCCAAUACUGAAUAUGCCGGGAGGGUUGUUACAAGUAUUUAUUUAUAAGUCCUCAAAAUUUUCUUUUAUUAAAUGAUGUUGUAUCGUAUUGUUAUUCAUUGAUGAUGCAUGCGACUCAUAAUUAGUGAUGCAUCAAAUAUUCUUAAAUAAAUGGGAUAAAGUAACAUUUUGUCCCUUGCCUUGUCAACUUUUCCCAUAUUGGUCAAUAAACCUCUUUUUUUUCCAGGUCAAUCUUGGAACUCAACAAUUUUUCUCAAUUUGGUCCAUAAAUUUGGAUUUUGUAUGAAGUAUGACAAUGCAGUGUUUUGAGAUUGUGUCAUGUCAUCAAUUUAAUUUUAAUUUUUUUUAAAAAUUGCUUUAAUUUUUUUAAUAAUUUUUUGCACUUUUUCGAUGAUAUAUAUUUAAAUUUGCAUGGAAUCCAAGUUUAGGGACAAAUUGAGAAAAAUUAUCAAGUCUAGGACUCAUGUGGGCAAAAAAAUUUAGAGACAAAGUUGGAAAAAUACAAAGUUUAUGGACUAAAUAUGAUUUUCUACCUAAAUAAAUCUAUAAUGUCGAUGAUGUCCCAUACACAAAAUGCAAAAUUUGUAGUUUUAUUUUCCUUCCAAAAAAGCGUAAAAAUGUAAUGUUUCGGAAUAGCUUGCAAUGUUUCAGUAACACUAAUAAAUGUGACUUCAAAAUAGCCUUGCCCUUUUCGUUGAAUCCUCUCCUCAAGCGUUAAGGGUUCAACAAUUCGCAAACGGAUCCAGAUAUGCAUAAAUUUAUUCAAAUAAUUUGGCACCCCGAUGCAUCCAAAUCCAAAAACAUCCCAAUGUAUUCCCUAAAAUCUUAGCCAAACCUUUAGAAGCUAAUCCACGUGGCAAACCAUGCACUUGCACCCGGAAAUCGUCAAAAGCAAAAUUAAUAUCCUCAGGAUCCUCACCUUCUUGAAUUUGAAUAAGAAAAAUACAAUUAUUAAAUUAUCAGGGCCCCCAAAAAUCAUCUUUUUCAAAUCAAUGAUAUGGUAGAAUUGAAUCACAUACAAGCCACUAUCCUUCAUCAAUUUAAUCAUGGCCUCUUUCAACGAGUGACAUAGUGCAAGGAGAGUACAUUCGAUGGCUUAAAAGUUAAUCACCAUUUAUCCCAAAAACUUAUCAACAAGGCAAAAGUCAUAGUUGAUUUCAUCCUCGACUCCAACAUCCCCAUCAAACACCAGUUCAGCAUUCACUUUCUCGUGCAAAGAUGACCCUUGCAAUGUCUCAUCCAUCCCUAAUAGAAUCAAGAAGCAACAGAACCAAUCAGACAAAACAAUACCUUUCGCUAGCAGCUUGACAAAGCCAUACAAAGCCCUACACACCGACGAGACGAACUUGCACUCACAACCCUAGUCGCAAACCGCAAGAGGUAAGAGUUUAGGGAUAGAUUACUUCACAAUUAGUGAUUAAACUUUUAAUUGUAUCAAAAAAACUACAAAAAUGAUUUCUAUUUCUUUCAUAGUUUUUUCAUUAAAAUCAAAUUAAUUUUUUUUUCUAAAAAAGAUAUACAUUACAAUCUUUACUAAUAUUAAAAUCUUAAUAUAUGUUUUUAUUUUUAUUAGUACAUUGGUAAUAUUUAGUAAUAUAAUAAAAUGAUAAUCAUAUUUGAAAUUUAAUUUAUAAACUCAUUAUAUCAUAUUGUCAAAUCUAAUAAUUUUUAUAAUAGUUUUUGUUUUUAUAUAGACAAGAAGAACAAAAAUAACUUUACUAUUCAUUAUAACACCUGGACUUAUUAAUUAAUAUAUUUGCAAUUGUUUUUUUUUUUACUUAACUUUAUAUGCUUAAUAUACUACAAAAAUAUCACAUCAACUGAUUUUUGUAAAAAAAAUUCACAAUAACCUUCUUAUUACAAUUAUUUAAUUAGUAUAACCAAUUCUCAAAUUAAUUUAAAUAUGUGGAUUUACUGUCCAAAUAUCACUGCUCUAAUUUAUAUGAUUUUUUCAAACUUAAAUGGUAUUUAUCUUAUUAACAAUACAAUUACAAAACCUUUUAUUGGCAUAGACUUAACUUGUGUAAUUAUAUUCAAAGAUAUACUUUAAGUAUCAAAUUGAACAAAAAAUUUAGAUAUCAAAUAAGAAAAUAUAUACACUUCAAAAGCCAAAUCACAAAUAUUACCAAUUGAGAAUAAAAAAGUUUAUUAACCCGAUAAAAACUAUUAAUUUAAAAGUUUAAAUAUGAAAAUAAAUUACUUUCAGAAUUCCUUAAUACGUCUAGAUUUUCCAACUAUUUCUUAUCUUAUAUCUAAUUGGAUAUAAGCAAAAAGUAUGGUAUAUAAUUACUUAUAUUAAUAUCAUCAAAAUUAAUAAUAGAACUUUAGAUUGAGUUUACAUCACAAAUAAUACUAAUCUAAUUAAAAAAUAUCUAAAAAUUUAAUUAUAAAAUAUUUUAAUAUUGUCGUUUAAUAUUUUUAUACAAUGCCUUUAAUAAUUUAAUAUCAUGUCUUUAAAAAUACUUAGAAUAAUGUCUUUUAAUAGAUUUGUAGACACAAUAACAAUUUAAAACUCGUUAUAUAAUUAUAAAUAUAUUGUAUGUAAUUAAUACAAAUAAUCAAAUUCAGGAUAUAAUUCAACUAAUGCGUACAAUUAAAAUAUUACACAAUUAAAUAUAAAGUUUUAAAAUAGAUACAAUUAAAUUUUACCAUAAUCUUAUAGACACCAGUAAACUUGUCCAUCACACGGGUAAAAGAGUAGUUAUUUUAUAUUUAAAUAUUUUAAAUAAAAGUAUUAAUAUUUAUUUAUAAGUCCUCAAAAUUUUUUUUGAUUAAAUGAUGAUAUAUUACAUUGUUAUUUGCUGAUGAUGCAUCCGACUCAUAAAUUAAUGGUGUAUCAAAUAGGCUUAAAUAAAUGAGAUAAAGUAACAUUUUGUCCCAUCACUUGUCAACUUUUCUCAUAUUGGUGAUUGAACUGAUUUUUGUCCAGGUCAGUUUUGGAACUCAACAAGUUUUUUCAAUUUCGUACAUGAAUUUGGAUUUUGUUCGAGGUAUGAAGAUGUGACGUUUUGAAAUUGUGUCAUGUUAUUACUUGAAUUUAAAAAAAUAUUUUUCAAUUCCUUUAAUUUUUUAAAAUAAUUUUUUUUGCACUUUUUUAGAUGAUAUAUUUUUAAAUUUGCAUGAAUCCAAGUUUAGGGAUUAAAUUGAGAAAAAGUAUCAAGUUCUAAGACUCAUGUGGACAAAAGUUUAGAGAUGAAGUUUGAAAAAAAUACAAAGUUUAUUUACUAAAUAUGAUUGUUUUUCCAAAAUAAAUCUAUAAUAUUGAUGAUGUCCCAUACAUGGAAUGCAAAAUUUGUAGUUUUAGUUAGCUUUCCAAAAAAAAGGAAAAACUGUAAGGUUUCAGAUUAUCUGAUAAAGAAAUUCUCACCUGGAGAUUCUCAAUAUCUUUAAAAUUUAUUAGUCCUGAUUAUACUAAAUCAGAUACAUUAACACCAGAGCUAAAUCAAAGUAACUAUAAAAGGGCCGGGGUUGGGAACCUAAUGUGUAUAGAUAAUUAAAUUUGGUUAAUGUAGUGUCCAAAGAAGCUCUCAACAGUUCAACACUGAAAGGAGCUGAUGGCACAUUCCUAUGGCUGCUAGCUCAUGGAUAUCCCUAGCUACGAGACCCUACGUCAAUUACUGCGCGGGCUAGGGUUUGCAUAUCCUGGGAGACGUGGUUUGCCUUUUUUUGGGUAUUGGGGUAAAGGGAGCUCCUCUUGCUCCUAAGUUUAACACAUUUUUUCUAUUAAUUUCCUCUGUUGUUAAGUACUGCUAUCGACACAGAUGGUGGUUUCAAAGCAGGGAUGGAAGCUGGAGGAGAAAUCAGAGAUUCGACUUCUAGAUGGUUAUGAGCUCUCACAACAAACAUUGGCUUCUGCAGUGUCUAUGAGCCUAAACUUUGGGGCGCUCUGGAUGGUCUCAACCAGGCUAGGAACCUUGAUGGACGUUGGAUAAUACUGGAACUUGGUUAAUCUAAGACUGAUUCAUGUGAAUCAUGUGAAACUGGAAGGAAAGUUUAAAUUUGUUCCUCAAGUGGCUUCAAUUGCAGGGAUGUGCAUUGAUAACUCUUCAUUCUCACUUUUGUCCUUAAAAGCUUGAUGUCCUUGAUCUCUCAGAAAGCAAUAUCAUUAUAUAUGUAUAUAUAUACACACACAGACACUAUCUGCUUUCUUCUUUAAUUCAUUUAUGUCGAUUUCUUAUGCUUGUAACUAGCUAGUUUGUAGCAGUUUAUAAGCUGGGUACUUUUUUAUAUGCAAUAUUGUUUGUUUCAGUUUAAAGAACCAAUACUACGAGUUGAAUAGCUUGAGAUUCUUGGACACUUUUCUCAAGGAUAUUUUGUCAUAUAGUGAAUCCCCAUAUUCAACAAGUUCUUCCAUUAUAAAAAGAGAACAAGAAUCUUUUGAGCCCAAAGCGCGAUUCCCCUUUCAACUUGGUUCUUACUAGCCCGAUGAAGUAUAAUAGCUUAUAAACAAAAGUCUCAAGCUCCUUCUUUAGGAAUGUAAGGUAUGCUUCUUUUCAAAAAGCUAUAGUGUCCUUUAGACCAUGAAGUAGAGCUAGAAAGAAUGAGGCAUAAUUUACAAAAUAAUUGUUGAAACAAGUUUGAAUCAACCAAGAAUUUUUCGCGUAAAUUAAAGUUCUCAUUAAUCAUAUUAUACCUAUACUAUUCUUGUUCAACACAGUUGUGCACUAAUAGACUAUGCAUGAGUCUAAUUUCCAUGAGUGCUUUAGAGCCUUUGCCAUAUAUAUCAUAGAAGUGACCUUCACAUUAAUAUAGGUUAAAUCAUCAAGUGUAUUUUUCUGAUCAAUACACUAUUUAUAAAUUAAAUAGAUUUAAUUAAGAGUUUUUACUCAUCCUCACUAUCCAUUCAGUUUUAGAACUAUCCACACCAUAGGAGGGACAUAAUGAUUUACAGAUGAACUAAAGACUUCGUUAUUACCCAUAUGAACCUAAUUCAUGAGAUCUCCAGUAACAUAAGUAGGGUUUCCAUCAUUGUUGAUCUCAUCCUUUGGAAAAAGUCUCAUUCCCCUCAAUGUAUCAUUCAAUUGUUUCUUUCCUACGAGUUUUAGUCAGAGAAUUAUUCAAAUUCACUUUUGACUACAAAAUCCAUGGAUUAUAACUCCAUCCCUUUUUGCAACUUAUUUAUCACGUCAUGUGUUAGACAAAUGUACCUAAAUUUACAAUUGAAAGUUUUAUCUUUUGCAUUGGUUAUUGCUAAUUGGCAAUCACAAUACAUAGAUACAAAAGUUGUUGGCUUUGUACUCAAUAUAAUAUUUGCUUUAUCCAUGUCUUUCAGGUCAAAUUUGGAAGCAAGAUAUCUUUCUACCUCAGUACUAAAUCAUAAUUAGUACUGAUUUUAUCAACAUAUAAAUAGAUUUACCACACAAUCACCAUUAAUGGUGAGCAUUCGUUCAAAUCGAGUUGAAUUGAAAAAAUUUUGAGUUAAUUGAGUUAACAAUUCCUAUUCUAUCAUCCUAACUCGAUUUGAAUUUUUUUCGAAUAGGCUCAAGUGAAAUGAAAUUUGAGUCACAUCGAGUGAAAUUUUUUGAGUUAAAUUAAAAAAUUAAACAUGUCAGAUUAAAAUUUUGUUACAGUAUAAUUAUUUCAUGUUAGAGCACAUAAAUUUGAAACCAUAUAUAUUUGAAAACAUUUUCAAAGUAAAAUAAUAACAAUAAUAAUAAAUAUUGUAAGGCCCAAUUUCUACCUGGGCCCAAAUCAAGAAAGAAAACCAAAAUAAACAAAUGUCCACAGCCCAAAUAUUACAACUAUAAUGGCCCAAUGCUCGAAAUUUUACAAACAGUAACCUAAGACUAAUGACCCAACAACAGCACGCCCAAAUGCCCCAAAAGCCAAACAUUUUCGGAAACCUUAGAUUUCCUUCCUUCUCCUCGCGCCGUAUGCAUCGUAACCCAACCUCCGUACGCCCAUGCGCUGCCCUCGACACGUUGGCCUCCGUACACCUCCUUUGUACCUGCGAACCAAUGCAAAUACAACAGCAAAAACAAAAAUGAGAGAAUAUUGUAUUUUUAUUAUUUUUCUUAUUCGGUUAUAAAGCAUUUUUCAUUGUGAUUGUUUUUGGGGACUACGAACGAAUAGAUACAGAAAAGAAAUCAAAAUACCUUUUUAAAAAGGUAUAUCAUUUUUUCUCAUAUAUAUGUUUCGAGUAUAACACACAUAUAUACAUAUACAUAUUCAAAGAAAACGCAAAAACCAAUUACCUUUUUGGAGAUUGGGGAAGGAAACCAAAGGGUUGUUUGUUUUCUUUUAUUUUUAAAAGGUUUUUCUAAGGUUUUGGGGUUUUAAAACGGGGUUAAAGGAGGCGAGAUCGGUAAAAAAAGGGGCUUUUUUGAAGCUCCGGCCGCCGUGCAUGGCGGCGGGCCGGCGGUAGACCGGCGACCGGAUUCCUGGCCUAAGCCGGAGGAGAAGGGAGGAGUUGAGAGAAAAUUUUGUUUUUUUUUUUUUAAGAAGAAGGCUAAAAAUGAAGUUUUGAUUUUUUUUUUUUGCUUUAUAUAGAGGUGUGAAACGACGCCGUUUCACUAUGGCUCUUUCAACGCCAAAACGGAUCCGUUUAGUCAGGGCCCGAUCCGCCCGACCCGAUACUCAUGAGGAUCCACGUGUUUUUAUUUAAAGGGAUAUUUUCA
rnacentral:lncRNA from 1 species